AUGAACGCUGGCGGCGUGCCUAAUACAUGCAAGUCGAGCGAACAGACGAGGAGCUUGCUCCUCUGACGUUAGCGGCGGACGGGUGAGUAACACGUGGAUAACCUACCUAUAAGACUGGAUAACUUCGGGAAACCGGAGCUAAUACCGGAUAAUAUAUUGAACCGCAUGGUUCAAUAGUGAAAGACGGUUUUGCUGUCACUUAUAGAUGGAUCCGCGCCGCAUUAGCUAGUUGGUAAGGUAACGGCUUACCAAGGCAACGAUGCGUAGCCGACCUGAGAGGGUGGUCGGCCACACUGGAACUGAGACACGGUCCAGACUCCUACGGGAGGCAGCAGUAGGGAAUCUUCCGCAAUGGGCGAAAGCCUGACGGAGCAACGCCGCGUGAGUGAUGAAGGUCUUCGGAUCGUAAAACUCUGUUAUUAGGGAAGAACAAAUGUGUAAGUAACUAUGCACGUCUUGACGGUACCUAAUCAGAAAGCCACGGCUAACUACGUG
rnacentral:rRNA from 1 species